AUGCGUGCAUACAUGCACACACAUGUGAAUGUGCUCAUACCACACGUGUCAGUGAGCGCAUGUGAGUACACAUGUGCGUGUGCACACCCACGCCCAGUGGCCAGAAACUCCCUCCGCGCGGGAGCGCGCCUGGCCAAGGUCACGCGUGUGCGCGCAUCGGUGUCAGCGGCUGGCGGGGAGCCGGGCGGGGGGGCCGCGGGGCCAGCCUUGGCCGGGGCAGCCGCGGGAGGAGGAGGAGGAGGAGGAGGGAAGUGCGGCUCAGACAGCGCGGCGCCAGCAAACACCUGCGAACAGCUCCGGGCACACAAUGGCAAAUACAGGUGGGAACCGCCGCCUCCGUCAGCGCAGCGAUUGCAUCAGACUCCGGCGCUUGCCAAGAGGCGAAUGAGCCGGAUCACGGGCCACCGGCGCGGCAGCGGCGCCGCUCUCGACCUUCACCGCUCCUCCUCCCCGGCAUUGGCUUUUUCCCUCCUCACCCCCUUUUCUGCACCCCUGCAGUGUAGCUGGGGUAGUAAAAGUAACGCCGGACUUACUCGGCCAGGAGCAUUUUUCUCGUUCCAGCUGUUCUCCCUGAGGGUUUUCCAGGAAAGCAUCGGCAUCCCACAACAGCCAAGAGAGGUUUCAAAGAAAGCACUGGCAACUGACAGCCCAGUCCAGGGAUCCAGUGAGGUCUAA
rnacentral:lncRNA from 1 species